rnacentral:rRNA from 1 species
ACGUCCAUACCAUGCUGAAUAUACCGGUUCUCGUUCGAUCACGAAGUCAAGCAUCAUUGGGCGCGGUCAGUACUUGGGUGGGUGACCGCCUGGGAACACCGCGUGCCGUU